AACGAACGCUGGCGGCAGGCUUAACACAUGCAAGUCGAGCGCCCCGCAAGGGGAGCGGCAGACGGGUGAGUAACGCGUGGGAACGUACGCUUUGCUACGGAAUAGCUCCGGGAAACUGGAAUUAAUACCGUAUGUGCCCUACGGGGGAAAGAUUUAUCGGCAAAGGAUCGGCCCGCGUUGGAUUAGCUAGUUGGUGGGGUAAUGGCCUACCAAGGCGACGAUCCAUAGCUGGUCUGAGAGGAUGACCAGCCACAUUGGGACUGAGACACGGCCCAAACUCCUACGGGAGGCAGCAGUGGGGAAUAUUGGACAAUGGGCGCAAGCCUGAUCCAGCCAUGCCGCGUGAGUGAUGAAGGCCUUAGGGUUGUAAAGCUCUUUCACCGGAGAAGAUAAUGACGGUAUCCGGAGAAGAAGCCCCGGCUAACUUCGUGCCAGCCGCCGCAGUAAAAC
rnacentral:rRNA from 1 species